CAACAGGAAGCCACUGAAGUGAAUCCAGGAAGGGCCUUCAGAAGCCAAGAUCACGUGGAAGAUGGAGGACGUUUCCAGUCUGGGGUGGGCCGAGGAGUCGUCACUUCCCUGUCACUGAAGACAUCUAAGCAGAGACAAGCCCCUCAAGGGGUCACAGUGGAGAUGAGCUCCUGCCCAUGAGACCUCGUGCACAGUGGAAGCUCGGGCUCCUUGAUGAGAGAAGGAAUGAGAGGAAGUCACUUGUUGAAAAAGAGACACGGCGAGUCCGUUGGCAGCAUUAUGAUUUCCUUAUGUAAGGCGACCAGAAAUGUUUUGCUUAGGUGUGUUGGGAAGAAACAACUGUUUUAAAAUGCUGAAAGGGAAGUUAAUUGUCCAGUGGAUGACCUAAAAAUCUAAGUGUCUGGGAAAAGGUAAUCUUCGUUUCAGAGCUGGG